rnacentral:rRNA from 1 species
GCGGCUUCUGGGCCGCCUUCCCGGCGCAGCUGCACCCGUUCGGGGUCACCUACUUCGGCCGGCCCGCCGGACGUGCCUCCGACGGCCGCCUCGUCAUCGACUUCAUAGGGCAUACAAGUUGUUAUAAAGCCAGAAUAUCGGAUAACCCCUCCUCCUCAGUUGGCACCACAGAUGGUAGAAGUUCCCCGCAGCACCUUUAACUUUGAUUUUGAGUAUGAAAGAAAGAUUCUUGCGGAGGCAGAGAAGGAAAUCCCCAACUGGGGGAAGUUUGUAAUCGAAAGGCAGACGCCACCACCACCGUCGCCACAACAACAACAACCAUAGCCGCCAAGAGGGCCAAGACACUCAACAUCCACUACUUCUAUGCUUUUUCAGGCUACCCCAGGAGAUCCACUUGUGGAGAAGUAUAUGUCUAUGGGGCUUGGACGUGAAGCUGUUUCAUUUCCUGUGCUAAAUUAUGGAGAUAACCCAACAAAGGUGAAGGAGUUUGUGAAAGCCUACAACGCCCUCCACGAGAUGGGGUUCACCUCCCGGAACGUCCCCGAGCUGCUGGCGAUGCACGACAACGACCCCGACAAAGUUAUCCAGCACCUGCUCAGCACGACAUAA